rnacentral:rRNA from 1 species
GACGAACGCUGGCGGCGUGCUUAACACAUGCAAGUCGUACGGUAAGGCCCUUUCUGGGGUUCACGAGUGGCGCACGGGUGAGUAACACGUGAGUAACCUGCCCACAACUUUGGGAUAACGCUAGGAAACUGGUGCUAAUACUGGCUAUGUGCUCCUGCUGCAUGGUGGGGGUUGGAAAGCUCCGGCGGUUGUGGAUGGACUCGCGGCCUAUCAGCUUGUUGGUGGGGUAGUGGCCUACCAAGGCGGCGACGGGUAGCCGGCCUGAGAGGGUGACCGGCCACAUUGGGACUGAGAUACGGCCCAGACUCCGACGGGAGGCAGCAGUGGGGAAUAUUGCACAAUGGGCGCAAGCCUGAUGCAGCAACGCCGCGGGCGGGAUGACGGCCUUCGGGUUGUAAACCGCUUUCAGCAGGGACGAAGCUUUUUGUGACGGUACCUGCAGAAGAAGCACCGGCUAACUACGUG